rnacentral:misc_RNA from 1 species
GUGUCUUGGGGAAUUCUCAAAGCUAGAGUCAGAAAUUAAUCAGACACCCUUUAAAUAGGAUUGAAUAAUACAGUUAGAAAAUAUCAUAUGUCCAUACUCAGAGACACAUGGAGAAACAUAUGCACAAGCAGAAGAUCAUUCUAAUAUUAAAGAUGUUAAAUGCUGGAUCAGAUGCUUAGAAGACCACAUGAUCUAUGUUCAAACAUGUCCUUCAGACAAUCAAAAGAGUGUGAAUUAAGAAAAGGCCAAGACAUUUAAAAAUUUGUUACUCAACAAAUGAUUCACCCAUUUUUGUAAUAAUCUUACCAGCAUCUUUAGAUCUGUAGCCCAUGAACAAACAUCAACAUCUUAGCAUACACGGGAUGCAUCACAAAUUAGAGUUUUAUCCUUCAUUACACAUACUAUGCAACUAAUUUGAUGCCCAUAAACAAAUUCAAUUAGAAGAUAAUAACAAAUCCCAAAUACCAAUAUCAAGAGGAAGCUAAUUUAAUAGAAAAAUUUAAAUCCAAAAGACGGUUAUAUCAAUAAACAUUCAAUGAAUAUCGCGAGAUAACAAAGUUUUUUUCAUAAGGAGAGAGCCAAGGAAGCUCAACAUUGACAGACAGAACAAACAGCAUUUCCCAAGCUCAGGACAAUUAUGCAAAUACUAUCCUAGUAUUGAUUGCAGGCAAAGUGAGCACCUACAACAUGGACUCGGUAACAAAACAACAAAACACAAACGAUUUCAUGGCAAAACAAGAAGCUCAUACCUUUCUUUUAACUUUGGAUCAUGA